GUGGUUGAGGAGCGCCAUAGAAGGGUGGGGGCGGUUGUUGGUGAGGGUUGGGGAAGGUGUUUCUCGGUGGAGGGUAAGUUGUGCGUCUUUCAUCGUUGUCUUUGUAGUGGUGGGUGUGGCUGAAGGGAAACAACAUGGUGGAUUUUAAGUUUCAGAAUGGGAACAGAGAGAAGGCUUGGUGUCCAAUUCUUGCGACUAUGACCAAUGGAACUAUCUACAAUUUUGUACCCGACUUUAAUAAUGGAUCAAGCAUCUUAUCGCUUUUUGG
rnacentral:lncRNA from 1 species